rnacentral:lncRNA from 1 species
CUGGAAUCAGCCCAUGGGGUCCUCGGGCCUGCCAAGCAAAGGAAGAGGCACGACUCCCCUCCCAGUCUGGGACAAGAGGGCUCAGGAGGUGCCCCCAGCUCUGCCAGCCUUCAUCUGCCACCCUUGGACUGGGUGGAGCUUGUGGAGGCCCUGGGCCGCCCGUCGAUGCCUCCCAUUGGGGGUCGCCCUCCCAGUGCCCAGUUCCCUGCUGGGCACUCUGGGUUCCUGCUACCUUUCUUGGGGUGCCCCAUGGCCGGGUCCCCCUCCCCAGCCUCUUCAGGGCUGGAAACAGGAACGUGCUGUGCUUGGUCCUGAGCCGGGUGGGAGUUCUCUGUGGGUCCCAGCCCCUCCCUGCUCCAUCUCCUGGUCUGAGGGGCAUCCCCGGACAAAAGAUGUCCAGUGCUAAAACUGAAUAGUCCUAGGCAGGCUGGGAUGGCUGGUCACCCUGCCCCCAGGCCACCUGGCUGUCAACCUCCCAGCAGCAGGGUCCUCAGGCUGGGCCUGGGUCCCCAACCACUGCAGGAGCCCUGGCCAGGCCGUGUGCAACUUCGUGUGUGACUGCAGGGACUGCUCAGAUGAGGCCCAGUGUGGUUACCACGGGGCCUCGCCCACCCUGGGCGCCCCCUUCGCCUGUGACUUCGAGCAGGACCCCUGCGGCUGGCGGGACAUUAGUACCUCAGGCUACAGCUGGCUCCGAGACAGGGCAGGGGCCGCACUGGAGGGUCCUGGGCCUCACUCAGACCACACACUGGGCACCGACUUGGGUGAGGCCAGGGCAAGUCUCUGUGCGCCCCUGUCCCAAUACCCUCCUUGCUCCCUGCCCCGUCUCCUGACCUCUCACCUGCGCCAGGCUGGUACAUGGCCGUUGGAACCCACCGAGGGAAAGAGGCAUCCACCGCAGCCCUGCGCUCGCCAACCCUGCGAGAGGCAGCCUCCUCUUGCAAGCUGAGGCUCUGGUACCACGCGGCCUCUGGAGGUGCACCCUGGACCCCCAAGGCUCGUGGGGGGUGCCCAAGGGGAGGGCGGGUGGGCAGCUGGGGACAAGCAGGGCCGCAGCUGCCCUGGGACCCCUGACAUUGCAGAUGUGGCUGAACUGCGGGUGGAGCUGACCCAUGGCGCAGAGACCCUGACCCUGUGGCAGAGCACAGGGCCCUGGGGCCCUGGCUGGCAGGAGUUGGCAGUGACCACAGGCCGCAUCCGGGGUGACUUCCGAGUGACCUUCUCUGCCACCCGAAAUGCCACCCACAGGGGCGCUGUGGCUCUAGAUGACCUAGAGUUCUGGGACUGUGGUCUGCCCACCCCCCAGGCCAACUGUCCCCCGGGACACCACCACUGCCAGAACAAGGUCUGCGUGGAGCCCCAGCAGCUGUGCGACGGGGAAGACAACUGCGGGGACCUGUCUGAUGAGAACCCACUCACCUGUGGCCGCCACAUAGCCACCGACUUUGAGACAGGCCUGGGCCCAUGGAACCGCUCGGAAGGCUGGUCCCGGAACCACCGCGCUGGUGGUCCUGAGCGCCCCUCCUGGCCACGCCGUGACCACAGCCGGAACAGUGCACAGGGCUCCUUCCUGGUCUCCGUGGCCGAGCCUGGCACCCCUGCUAUACUCUCCAGCCCCGAAUUCCAAGCCUCAGGCACCUCCAACUGCUCGCUGGUCUUCUAUCAGUACCUGAGUGGGUCUGAGGCUGGCUGCCUCCAGCUGUUCCUGCAGACUCUGGGGCCCGGCGCCCCCCGGGCCCCCGUCCUGCUGCGGAGGCGCCGAGGGGAGCUG